rnacentral:misc_RNA from 1 species
UGGUUCUGGCAUCGAUGAAGAACGCAGCGAAACGCGAUAGGUAAUGUGAAUUGCAGAAUUCAGCGAAUCAUCGAAUCUUUGAACGCACAUUGCGCCCUUUGGUAUUCCGAGGGGCAUGUCUGUUCGAGCGUCAUUACAACUCUCAAGCAUUUGCUUGGUAUUGGGCUCCGUUGAAAAACGAGCCUGAAAAAUAGAGGCAAUCCGGCAAGAUUCCGGGCGUAGUAAAUUUUCGCCUCAGGAGUUCUUGAAGGAUUUGCCAUUUCUUCUACUCUAAGUUUGACCUCGAAUCAGACAAGAAUACCCGCUGA